rnacentral:rRNA from 1 species
GAUGAACGCUGGCGGCGUGCCUAAUACAUGCAAGUCGAGCGAACAGAUGAGGAGCUUGCUCCUCUGACGUUAGCGGCGGACGGGUGAGUAACACGUGGAUAACCUACCUAUAAGACUGGGAUAACUUCGGGAAACCGGAGCUAAUACCGGAUAAUAUAUUGAACCGCAUGGUUCAAUAGUGAAAGACGGUUUUGCUGUCACUUAUAGAUGGAUCCGCGCCGCAUUAGCUAGUUGGUACGGUAACGGCUUACCAAGGCAACGAUGCGUAGCCGACCUGAGAGGGGGAUCGGCCAAACUGGAACUGAGACACGGUCAAGACUCCUACGGGAGGCAGCAGUCGGGAACCUUCCGCAAUGGGCGAAAGCCUGACGGAGCAACGCCACGGGAGUGAUGAAGGUCGUCGGAUCGUAAAACUCUGUUAUUAGGGAAGAACAAAUGUGUAAGUAAAUAUGCACGUCUUGACGGUACCUAAUCAGAAAGCCACGGCUAACUACGUG